rnacentral:rRNA from 1 species
AACCUCCGCAAUGUGAGAAAUCGCGACGGGGGGAUCCCAAGUGCCAUUCUUAACGGGAUGGCUUUUCAUUAGUGUAAAGAGCUUUUGGAAUAAGAGCUGGGCAAGACCGGUGCCAGCCGCCGCGGUAACACCGGCAGCUCUAGUGGUAACAAUUUUUAUUGGGCCUAAAGCGUCCGUAGCCGGUUUAAUAAGUCUCUGGUGAAAUCCUGUAGCUUAACUGUGGGAUUGCUGGAGAUACUAUUAGACUUGAGACCGGGAGAGGUUAGAGGUACUCCCAGGGUAGAGGUGAAAUUCUGUAAUCCUGGGAGGACCGCCUGUUGCGAAGGCGUCUAACUGGAACGGUUCUGACGGUGAGGGACGAAAGUUAGGGGCGCGAACCGGAUUAGAUACCCGGGUAGUCCUAACUGUAAACGAUGCGGACUUGGUGUUGGGGUGGCUUUGAGCUGCUCCGUGCGACGGAAGACUGUUAGGUCCGCCGUCGGAGGUACGGUCGCAGAACUAAAACUUAAAGGAGUU